rnacentral:piRNA from 1 species
UGAAGUGUCUGGCAUGCCAGAAAUGGAUUGC